AGUCGGGGAGGAAACGUGCGGAUGUAGUAGGUCCCGCAAAUAUUAGGUGUGGUUUUGAACACUCAUCCGUAGGCACUUGAGACUUUGCAGAACGAUAGUCACCACCUGAACUGAUCGGUAGCAUCAGAGAUCUUCCCAUUCUUAUCUGGCGUUGUCUGCCAGGAAGAAGACUUGACGUGUAUGAAUUCCUACUGAUCCGGCAUAGUCGCUUCCCAUCUGUGCAGGAAGACAUCAAGAUCACUAUCGCCUGGCGCAAUGGUGCGUUGGCUUGAAGACAUGGCGCGAGCGCUCUAGCCAAUCACAGCGCUCGUGAAUGGGGAGCCUGGAUGAAAGCGGGAGGUGAUUUAGUACAGCGCAGGACACGGAGAGGGCGGCAAAGACUUGGACAGUGGAGCAAUUUGCACGUGGUCGCAAAUAUUUCAGAGUGCCGACGUGUGCUCUUGUGUGAUUUCCGUGGCUUCUGCAGUGAAGACGUAGUGCGCAUUUAGAAGUGUAUAUCUCGUCAGGCGUUGUCUGCCAGGAAGGACGAUGCAUAGGAACUCAUAUUGGUUCGACAAUGUCGCGUCCAUCUACGCAGGAAGCCAUCAGGGUCACUUACGUCUGACGAAUGGAUUUAUCUGCCAGGAAGGAGACUUGACGUCUAUGAAUUGACAGGGGUUCGCCAUGGGCACUUCCAAACUGUACAGGAAGACAUCAGGGUGACUGGUGCAAAGGAGCCAGAUAGCCUGGCGUCGCCAUUAUCACCAAGGUGGUACCAUCAUUACAUAUGUCGGACGUCGUAUGCUGGGCAGACUGGUAAACCAGGACAAGUGGCAAACUGUGGCAGAACUGACAUCAGACUUUAAUGGUGGUCAGAGUACACCUGUGUCUGAACACACAGUGCACUGAAAACUUCUGACGACCCAUGCAUGUGCCUGCCAGAAGAACAUA